rnacentral:rRNA from 1 species
CAGCAGCCGCGGUAAUACGUAGGGGGCAAGCGUUGUCCGGAAUUAUUGGGCGUAAAGGGCUCGCAGGCGGUUUCUUAAGUCUGAUGUGAAAGCCCCCGGCUCAACCGGGGAGGGUCAUUGGAAACUGGGAAACUUGAGUGCAGAAGAGGAGAGUGGAAUUCCACGUGUAGCGGUGAAAUGCGUAGGGAUGUGGAGGAACACCAGUGGCGAAGGCGACUCUCUGGUCUGUAACUGACGCUGAGGAGCGAAAGCGUGGGGAGCGAACAGGAUUAGAUACCCGCGUAGUCCCUGUCUCUUAUAC